UACGUAGGGGGCUAGCGUUGUCCGGAUUUAUUGGGCGUAAAGAGCGUGUAGGUGGCCAGGUAGGUCUGCUGUGAAAACUCGAGGCUCAACCUCGAGACGUCGGCGGAAACCAUCUGGCUAGAGUCCGGAAGAGGAGAGUGGAAUUCCUGGUGUAGCGGUGAAAUGCGUAGAUAUCAAGAGGAACACCUGAGGUGAAGACGGGUUGCUGGGCUGACACUGACGCUGAGGCGCGAAAGCCAGGGGAGCAAACGGG
rnacentral:rRNA from 1 species